UCUUUGAUGACACAACAUGUGUGUGGAGUGAAGCCCUACAGUUCAAAAUUCACCAGUUAGUCCAGUUCCAGAUUUUUAGGAGGUGGAGUCUAAGCGGCAUUCUAAGCGGCAUUCUCUGUUACGCGCUCAGGCUAUAGCUUUUUUGGAUCGGGAAAAAUAUAGGUGUAUUGAAGACUUAUUUGCUGUCUACCAAAAUGCAGAAAUGAAGUACAAAUACAAAGCUCACCCCGGUUCUUCCCUCUCAUCUCUCCGCGGUGUUCCCGGCAAGGAUGUCACUUUAAAAACAUUCCAGAAACAUGCAGGGAGCAGAGACGAUGGUGCGAGGGGAAAUAUGAAAAAGCUGUGCCAGCAGGUUUCAUGUCACUUUGAUCACCUGACAUCAUAGAAUGUGGCUAACUUUUGACUGGAAACAAAUUCAGAUAAAACAGCCUCCAAAAAUGGCUACAAAAGCACAAUCCUGUUUUGACUAUAGCAGCUAUUGUACGCUUAAUGCAUUCAGAACACAAUAUAAUAAGAUCCACUGCAAGUGAGGUAUCAAGCAUUCUUGUCUUUGAUAUUUUUGGACCCAUUACAUUACUAAA